CAGAAGAAGAAAAGAAGCCCCCCCCCCCCCCAAAUUGUGCAGCAGGUCAGUGACGUGUGCUGACUGAUGGCCAUUGAGGUUCAUUCAGGUGCCAUUCUCAGAGCGUGUGGAGUGAUGAAAUGCUCUUUUGAGCUGCUUUAAAGGAGAAAUUCCUCCUUCAGUUCCCACAGAUGAGAGAUGUUUUCACCGGAGGGACUGUGAGACACUGUAAAUGUUAAAAUAAACAAAACAGAUCCGAGUAUAUACUUGUUUGCGCUCUUAGAUCAGGUAAAGAUUAAAAACAUUCUCGAAUUACCACCAAAAAUUGUUUAGCGUCAUCAUCUGCAAAGCAUUUGCAUAAAUUGCAAAAACUGUAAUAUGCAAAUAAACUAUUCAAAAAUGCUGCUUGUAAGCUAAAAA